rnacentral:rRNA from 1 species
UACGUAGGGGGCUAGCGUUGUCCGGAAUCAUUGGGCGUAAAGAGCGUGUAGGCGGCCCGGUAAGUCCGCUGUGAAAGUCGGGGGCUCAACCCUCGGAUGCCGGUGGAUACUGUCGGGCUCGAGUACGGAAGAGGCGAGUGGAAUUCCUGGUGUAGCGGUGAAAUGCGCAGAUAUCAGGAGGAACACCUAUUGCGAAGGCAGCUCGCUGGGACGUUACUGACGCUGAGAUGCGAAAGCGUGGGGAGCAAACAGG